rnacentral:rRNA from 1 species
GAUGAACGCUAGCUACAGGCUUAACACAUGCAAGUCGAGGGGCAGCGCAGUGUAGCAAUACAUGGGCGGCGACCGGCGCACGGGUGCGUAACGCGUAUCCAACCUUCCCGUUACUCAGGGAUAGCCUUCCGAAAGGGAGAUUAAUACCUGAUGGUGUUGAAAUUCCGCAUGUUAUUUCAACUAAAGAUUUAUCGGUAACGGAUGGGGAUGCGUGACAUUAGGUAGAUGGCGGGGUAACGGCCCACCAUGCCCACGAUGUCUAGGGGUUCUGAGAGGAAGGUCCCCCACACUGGAACUGAGACACGGUCCAGACUCCUACGGGAGGCAGCAGUGAGGAAUAUUGGUCAAUGGUCGGAAGACUGAACCAGCCAAGUAGCGUGAAGGAUGAAGGUUCUAUGGAUUGUAAACUUCUUUUAUACGGGAAUAAAACCACCUACGUGUAGGUGCUUGUAUGUACCGUAUGAAUAAGCAUCGGCUAACUCCGUG